rnacentral:rRNA from 1 species
AUACGUAGGGGCCUGACGUUGUUCGGAAUCAUUGGGCGUAAAGGGCGCGCAGGCGGCCGUCCAAGUCCGGUGUUAAAUGGUCGGGCUCAACCCGAUCAUGCGCUGGAAACUGGGCGGCUUGAGUCCCGUAGGGGAUGCCGGAAUUCCAGGUGUAGGGGUGAAAUCUGUCGAUAUCUGGAAGAACACCGAUGGCGAAGGCAGGCAUCUGGCCGGAGACUGACGCUGAGGCGCGAAGGCGCGAGGAGCGAACAGGUUUAGAUACCCUGGUAGUCCGCGCAGUAAACGAUGCGCACCAGGUGUCGGGCGGCAGCGCCCGGUACCGGAGCUAGCGCGAUGAGUGCGCCGCCGGGGGAAUAGGCCCGCAAGGGUGAAACUCAAAUGAAUUGACGG